CCUACGGGUGACAGCAGUGGGGAAUAUUGGGCAAUGGAGGAAACUCUGACCCAGCAACGCCGCGUGAAUGAUGAAGGUCUUCGGAUUGUAAAGUUCUUUUCUAAGGGAAGAAGAAAGUGACGGUACCGGAGGAAUAAGCCGCGGCUAACUACGGGCCAGCAGCCGCGGUAAUACGUAGGAGGCAAGCGUUAUCCGGAAUGACGGGGCGUAAAGGGUGCGUAGGGGGUUGGACAAGUUGGUAGCGUAACUCCGGGGCUCAACCUCGGCACUCCUACCAAAACUGUCGGACUUGCGUGCAGGAGUGGCAACUGGCCUUCCUCGUGUAGCGGUGUAAUGCGUAGAUCUUAG
rnacentral:rRNA from 1 species